UUAUUGGUAUUUUGAAAUUUCGCAAUUUGUUUUUCGCGGAAAAAAUAUAAGAGUAUUAAAUCUGUUUCCAAUGCGUCUGGUCGAAUGAUUCAGAAUUCUGCUCCGAAACAAGUCGGUGCAGGUUCAGUCUUGUCGAACCGGACAUACCUGGCGCAUCUUCAAAGUACCUACUGACGUGUUGCUAAGUCGAAUGUAUCGUUUGUGUUACAGAAGAUUGUCUGAUGACGUUAGUUUCGUGAUAUACAUAUAGCGGUCUUUAAUUUCAAAUGUAUCAUUCAAUUUGCUGCUGUGCCUUGAUGUAUUCUUAGUCCAAAGAGAAUAGCCAAUGAAAACAGCACAAGUCGUCUACGUUUACCAAUGGAAUUAUAGAUCUCUGGGUUUGCAGCAGCCCAUUUUUCCUUGAAUGCCAAUUUUUCUUUCUUGGGCUUAGUCUUCAAACUUUGGAUACCGGCAUAAUGCUCUUCGAUCUCUUUCAAAGAUCUUCCUUCCGUUUCUGGCAAUAUGAAGUACAGUAGAAUACCACCAACGAAAUUGAUCAAAGCAUAAAAGAAAAACGUUCCAGG
rnacentral:lncRNA from 1 species